CUGAUAAAUGCGCUUUUGAGGGUGGACGAAAUUUUCGGCCCUUUAUCCGACGGGAUAGCGCACAAAUAGGUCAG
rnacentral:ncRNA from 1 species